AGGAGCGUCUCCUCGAUGGUCUCCCCAUCUUCAGCCACUUUACGCUGGUUGCUAUACGCCUGGCCGAACGCCUGGGUAAGGUUUUCACGGCCGCCAGAGCUGAGCUGUCAUGAGAAAGGCGCUGAGGCUCGAUUGGGAAAAUCAAAGCAGGCAUCAACAGAACCAACGAGGCCGAUCGAGGUGGAGCCACUCGAUCCGCCUUCUGCGUUCUGGAGCUUCAUGGGAAGCAAAAGUGCUGCUGCCGUUUUUUUUUCUUUCUAUAAAAGUAGAUAGAAUUUCACUGCACACUCUGACAUCCAUGCGAUGCUUUAGUGGCUCAAUAAAUUCUCUGAACCAUCCCGGAUUUUCUCAGCACGUCAGCAGGAAGACGGGAUCCGGAGCUGGCUCUCCGGGAGACGAUGGAUCAAUGCAGCCGCAUAUGGAAAAUAGUUACAGCAGCAGCAUAAAGAUAUGGAAGAACAUAGGAAACCCACAGCUGCAAUUAGUCAAGCAAAGUGUAUUCCCCUCAAACCAGAAUGUUGUAUUUGAAUAAUGUAUGAAGUUUAUUUUGUAUGCAGAAAACUUAAUCGCAACGUGCAGCUGUUGAUGAUUCAAACAACAGAACAAUAAGAAAACUGGAGCUAAAAAAAUCAAAAAGAAGCUUUAUUAUGAUUUAUUAUAGUAUAUUUGUACUGUUCUAGGCACUAAAAUGAUGAAAAAUUAGAUGUUAUCCUGAUGAAUAAAAUAGAAUAGAAUAGAAUAGAAUAGAAUAAAAUAGAAUAGAAUAGAAUAGAAUAGAAUAGAAUAGAAUAGAAUAGAAUAGAAUAGAAUAGGAUGCUUUGUUGCAAUAAAAAAGGAGCACAAUGAUAUUUAAGGCAGCCAUCAUGUCAAAGUGCAUUAAGGAAAAUAAAACUAAGAAAUAAAGGAAAUUCAAAAGCAAAUAUAUGUAUGUACACAAUGUCUCAGGAGUCUGAUGGAUUAUGGGUAAAAACUAUAUGCAGUGAUCAUCUGAAAAGGAUACAUGACUCACUAACUUUGGAGAACCCGAGAAUAAUUAUUUUCUGGGGCAUUAAAGUGAUUUUUCAUUUUGGGCAGCAGCAAUUAGCCAAAAAAAGGAAUUAAAUUAAAAUAAAACAAAAAAA